AUGAUGACAUAGGUAAACACUUUCAGAUUCCAUUGUCUAAAAGCAGCAGGUGAAGCAUCAGCACUUUCCUUUUUGGAAGCUUUUCUUUUUUGUUAAAGGUAAAACAUAAAAAGACUUGAGGACAUAGGCUGCCAUGUUGGUUUUUUACCAUCCAGUAAAAAAUGUGGAAACUGCUGGCUUAAAGUAACUUACUUAAAUUAAUGAAUAAGAACAAUCUGAGGUAUGAUUUUGUGUGUAGGACCUGAAAAUGAAUAUUAUAAUUUAACAUUAUUAGAUCUGUGAUUUUCAAAGUGUCGUCCCUGGACAAAUAGCAUCAGUAUUACCUAGGUACUUGUUAGAAAUGUAUAUUCUUAGAUUUCACCUCAGACCUACUAAAUCCUGAUUCCUAUUGAAUCAGGAGAUGGAACUUGGCCAUCUGUGUUCUUCAUAGUAUCCUGAUCCAUGCUAAAGUUUAAAAACUAACAACUUAAUUUACUCUCCUCUCUUGUACUAGCCACUAAGCAGAAUUCUAUAUGUGUUAUCCUGUUUGAGUUGUGCCCUUAUAAAGUGUCUUAGUUAUAUACUGUUUGUAUCAGAAUAUUUAAAAUUUAGAAUUGAUGAGAGAGUAAAAUCAGAGGAUGUGGUGGCUAGAUGUUAUAGAAGGAAAUUGCACUAGUUAGUGCUGACACUGGAGAAAUCCAGGUUGCAAGAUUUCAGUGUCAUGUCUUUUGGGCACCAUUUAUUGACAUUAGCCAAUAAAUAUGAAAGUGUUGAGUUUGAAAGACUGAGCGUAGACUUAGGUAGUUGUUAGUAAUUGGCCUGGAAUAUUAUUUGGGACAGUAUCAAAGUAGGUGUUUGAGAGAGGUAAGGAAAGAAGUUGUGCCCGUCUUGGGUUUGAGCAGGGGUUGAAACAGUCUAUUUUUCCAUUGGUUAUGUGGAUCAUAGUUUGAAAGUCAUUGUUUUAAUGUAGUAAAACAUGUCUUUCUAAGGCACAUUAUUAGGGUUUAGAUUUUUGUUAUAUACAACAAACCAUUUGAGUAGAAAUACAAAUACAUUUAGAGGGGAGAGUUAAAUGUUAAAUUUGAAACAUUUUAAAUGUUACUUUAAAUUUAUACUUUCAGUUUAAUGUUUUACAUUAUUUUAGAACUCUCAUUUGAGAAAGGACUAAAUGAAAUUGUAGAAAUUAGUUGAGAAAUUGGCCUAUGGUAUAUAAUGAUCUGAUGUAUAAUGUAACUUAAUUGAACAAAAAAUGUGAUUUCAUUGUUUUUAACUGAUAAAUGCAUUUAUGCUUAUUAAUCUGGGAUUUGAUUGUUCUUUUGAAAAAUCCUACCAAAGAAAGCGAAAUGUUUGACCAUCAGAAACUGGUCCCAAAAUAGAGUUCAGACUGUUUUUCAACUUGACACAGUUGUCUCUCUUGCUUUGCUUUCCUCCUGAAAUGAUGUUUCCAUUUUGGGGAUCGGAAGAGCUAUGAUUAUUUAUAGACAAGUGUGUUUUGGACAGGUGGUGUGUUUACACAGAUCAGUGGAAUUAUCAAAUGUCCCCCAAGACCUUUAAUGUAAUACAUUUCAUUUCAUCAUCACUCUGUAUUUUUAAAAACGAAAUAAUUAUGUAGGAUGGAUGGAGAACUUUCUUUAAUUUUAUAUUUGAGCACAACAGUUGUCCUAUAGAUCUUUCAGGAAUUUUUCAGUUUGGGAAUGUUAAGAGUUUCUUGUAAACCAUAAAGUUUUGUCAUUUAACAUUUUUAAAGAUUGUGUUUCCUUAAAGAGCAUACAAAUUAUAAACAUCUCAUCCCCUUUUCCAGUUUUGGCUGUUUGACAGGAGUUUUUUAGGGAGUUAGGCCCUAUAGGAACUAAACCAUACAUAAAUUAUUGUAAGUUCCAGUAUCAUGAUUCCAAAAUUAUAAUAAAGUCAUAAAAUAACUUGGAAAUACUACAUAACAAAAACAUUACAGCUUAAAAAACUCCUGACCAUCAGAAACUGGCAUUUAGAUUUUUCAGCUCUAAAACCAUUGUUACAUCAAUUACGUAAGUAACCUCAGACUCAAUGCCAGUUACUGUAUUAGGGCCAUUUUUUUGCCACCAAAAAUACCAAAUAAUAUUCUUUCAAUCAUUGUGUAUAUGAUAGCUGUCUUCUCUAGUAAGAAUGUACCUAAUGAACUGCUUCCACUUCCUCCUUGUAGUAGACAGGGACUACUUUCAUGUUAUUCCUUUUUGAGACCCCCUGUUUCUUUUGAACCUACUCCUAUCUGCUUAGGGACUGGAUGAUAUAAUAUAGUCCUAUUCAGAAAAAUACUGAUAGUAAAGUAGUCUUCUUUUUUCUUCUGCUAACCUGUCUUCAGCUCCCUUCUGGAAUCUCUUUGUACUAUGGCGUUAAAGUCCUGGUCAUUCAAAGCCAUCUUCAGUUUUCUGUGUUCUUCAUUAUGCUGAAUUAACAACUCACUGUAGGAUCAUCCAGAUACUUUAAGUAUUUAGCGUGCCUCUUAAGACAUUUGGCUAUUCAUCAUUUGCAUCAUAUGGUUAAAAGCUUUUUUCUAUCUGGAUAUCGUGGUGUGACCACAGUGCAUACCAGUCUUUUCUGUUCUUGUAAUUCCUAUUUUACCCUUCUUUCUACAUCCAAAAAUGGAGAGAAGAGUGGAUUCUAUCCUGAGUAUAUUAACACUUAGUUUAAUUAAAAAAACAGAAUUGUCUGCCAAAUCCUGGUGGUGAGAAGUAAUAGUGAAAAAAAUUGAGUAAGCCGUAGUAGGGAAGAAGAUUCUUAAGUGUCUGAUUUAAUAAGAUAAAUAUUAUGAGAAGAAAGAGAACCAAGUGCUAUGAGAGUAAGAAGAUUACAUUCUGCCUAGGCCAAGGUUAGGAGGAGAUCAAAGAAUAACUAGAGGAGGUGACACUGAAGCAGAGCCUUGAAACAGGGCUGAUUUAAUCCAUUAGACACCGUAAGCACAGUGCCUAGGGACCACACUUCUCUUAGGCACCCACCAAAACAUGUUUCAAUUUUAAUAGAUUUUAAAGUCCAAAGAAAAAGGAGUAUAAGAAUAGUGAGUAUGUAAUAAUAAAUCCAGCCUGAAUUAUAUUCCUCUUUAUACUAAUGCAAUUGUAAAUGUAAUUAUCAGUAUUUUUUACAAUGGGGGUUGUGGCUUACCAAGGCAGAAGUAGCCUUGGGGUGGGACUUGGGAAAGUUAAAAUGCAACCUGUCUUUAAAGGUAAGUAAGGGUUUUCUGCUAGAGGCCGAGAUAAGCAAAAUUCUAGUAAGAAUUGAUAAUUAAACCACAGAUUCACUGUAAGGAACUUUAAUGAGUAUGGUGUCUCUUAUACAUGCUUCUAGGAGCAGUGAUGACUACAGAAAUGAAUAAUAGUUAGCUAGAAUAAAUACUGUUUGAUAUAUGCUAAACCCUAAAUAAAGAUGUCAUUAAUUAGUUGGUGAAAUAAUCAUUAUGCUGAGAGGCAAUAUUUACUUUAAAAUAUCAAUUUAAUAUCAGCUUUUCAGAAAAAAUAUUUAAGGUGUCCACAUCAUUAAUAACAGAAAUGUGGUUAAAAUGCAGUGGUAUAGAAAAUACAUUUUUGAUUCUAAGAAGCACUGUAAUUUUUUUGGUUUCACACACCCAUUGUCAUAAAAUAAAUCUCACCGUAGCAUGAACUCCAUGGUGAAACAAGGAUGACCGCUUCAGACCUUGAUUUUAUUCGCUACUAUAAAUAUAACCAGUAGAUGUAGUAUAGUUACAAUUAUUAUUUCUAUUUUAUAGAUGAGAAAAAUAGUCAAAGAAAGAUUGGAGUGUCUUUCCCAGGAUCCGACAUUUAAUAAUAAGAAAGAGGCAAAGCCAGGAUUUCAACCCAUAGUGUCUUCAUUCCAGAACAUUUGCCUCCUAACCAUUAUACUUCUAAGUUGCUAAAUUCAGUUUUGGAAAUGCUGAGUUCCAGGUGUUUGUGGGAGAACCAGUGGAGGAUAUUCAGUAUUAUGUGUCAGUUUGAAACUGAAUAAGUAAUGAAAUUGUCAAACCCAAGUUUGUGUGCCUGACUCACAGUGAAGCCAAGUGAAUUGAAAUGAGGUGUUGGGAGCAGAGAAAGGUUUAUUGCAAGGGCCCCUCAAGGAUGGCUUAUGCUGAAAAGAACUCCCUGAAGGGUCUCAGGGAAGAGUUUUUAAGGGGAAGGUGAAGAAGGGGAGUCACAGGGUAUGUAAUCAGCUUGUGCACAAUUCUGUGAUUGGUUGAUGGUGAGGUAACAAGGUCAUGUCACAGAGGUUAAAAUUAUCAAUACUCAGGCUCCAGUAGGUAUGCUUUGUCAUCAGGUAGUUAUCUACUUCUAUUUGGUAGGGGUUUUGGCAUCUAUGAAACAAUAGUUCUCCUUGCCCAACUGAUAUUUUUAUGUGUUCCUAUCCUUUUAAUCAUUCGGAUUGAAAAGUUUUGUGACUCAGGGAAGCCUAGGAGACUACAGCUUUUCUCUAAGAGGCAGGCAGAGGAUAUGCAGGAAAAAUCUGUCACAGAAAGGUCCCAUACCUGCUGAGUUACAGUACAGGCCAGAGAUAAAGAUUUUGGUGUCUUCGUCCUCUAAAAGAUGGUAGACUUAAGUAGAAAGAGCCAGCGAUGAAUAUUAGUAUCUUGGAAACCAAGAUGGAGGUGUAAGAUGUCAAGAACUGAGUAGUCGGUAUUGUGAAAUGUGGUAGAAGGAUCUCAUAAGAACCGAAAAAGAUCUGUUGCCAGCAAGAAGGAUGUCCUUGGUGUCUGUGGACACCAUAGAGGCUUUAUUUAAUCAGCACUGCCUCUUUCAUAUUAGAGGGAAUGCCAAAAAAAGAUUAACUUCAGAAUGUGACCUUAUUUGGAAAUAGGAUCUUUGGAGGUGUAGUUAAAGAUCCUGAGAAUCUUGUCCAUAAUGAGUCAUUGAGGAAUAACAGAGAUGCAAUUUAGUUCCCUUGACUAUUCAUAAGGAAGAGUUGAUCUUUAAUGUGUUUUUAUUGUGACUUCAUUGAAUAAUGCCUGUUGAUGUGCAGAAACACACAAAUUCAGAAAUACAUAUUGUCAGACAGAAUGUGUCUGUUCUGUAUUUAAUAGUCCAAGUAUUUUUGAAAACUGAACACAUAGUGUGUUUUUAAAUGGUUUUUAAACAGAUUUGGGUAUUACAUUAUGGCUCUCUCUAGACAUUUAACUUGUUUAGACUUAAGAAAAAUUGAUUUCCAAUUAUCACCAGAUUUCAUAAGAAAGAAAAUAUUAGCUAAAUAAUUAAUUCCAUGAAAUGACAUGUAUUCCAAACAAAAAUGGGCAACGUCUGUUAAUUCAGUUGGGAGGAUGAGAUUGAGUUUUGUCUUUUAAUUUUUAAAUUAAGUAUUUUUCAUAAUUUUAAAAAAUUUUAUUUUUUUGUUACAGUUGGUUUACAGUGUUCUGCCAGUUUCUGCUGUGCAGCAAAAUGACCCAGUUAUACAUGUGGAUACAGUCUUUUUCUCACAUUAUCCUCCAUCGUGUUCCAUCACAGGUGAUUAGCUAUAGGUUCCUGUGCUAUCCAGCAGGACCUCAUUGCUUAUCCACUCCAAAUGCAAUUGUUUGCAUCCACUAACCUCACAUUAAAGAUCACCCCCAAUCCAUCCCACUUCCUCCCUGGUGGCAAACACAGGUCUGUCCUCCAUGUCUGUGAUCUGUUUCUGUUUUGUAGAUAGAUCAUUUGUGCCAUAUUUUAGACUUCCCAUAUGAGUGAUAUCAUCUUCUCUUUCUUACUUCACUCAGUACAAGAGUCUCUAGUUCCAUCCAUGUUUCUGCAAAUGGCGCUGUUUUGUCCUCUUUUAUGGUUGACUAGUGUUCCAUUGUGUAUAUGUACCACCUCUUCUUAACCCAUUCAUCUGUUGAUGGACAUUUAGGUUGUUUCCAUGUCUUGGCUAUUGUGAAUAGUGAUGUGAUGAACAUAUGGGUGCUUGUAUCUUUUUCAGUGAAAGUUUUGUCCGGAUAUAUGCCCAGGAGUGGGAUUGCUGGAUCAUAUGGUAGUUCUAUAUUUAGUUUCCUGAGGUAUUUCCGUACGGUUUUCCAUAGUGGUUGUAUCAGUUUACAUUCCCACCAACAGUGAAGGAGGGUUCUCUUUUCUCCACAUCCUCUCCAGCAUUUGCUGUUUGUUGAUUUGUUAGUUAACUACUCUAACUGGUGUUUGGUGGUACCUCAUUGUAGUUUUUAUUUGCAUUUCUCUAAUAAUUAGUAAAGUUGAGCAUUUUUUUUAUGUGCCUGCUGGCCAUCUGUAUGUCUUUGGAGAAAUGUCUGUUUAGGUCUUCUGCCCAUUUUUCGAUUGUUUUUGUUGUUGUUGUUGUUGAGUUUUAUGAGUUGUUUGUAUAUUUUGGAGAUUAAACCUUUGUCAGUUGAGUCAUUUGCAAAGAUUUUCUCCCAAUCUGUGGGUGUCUUUUUGGUUUUUUUUUAAUGGUUUCCUUUGUUGUGCAGAAGCUUUUGAGUUUAAUUAGGUCCCAUUGGUUUAUUUGUGUUUUUAUUGUCUAUUCUAGGAGGUGAGUGAAACAAAAUAAUUGCUGUGAUUUAUGUCAAAGAGCGUUCUGCCUAUGUUUUCCUCUAGGAGUUUUAUGGUAUCUGGCCUUACAUUUAGAGAAUUUUUAUUUCAGGCAUCUUUUAAGGACAUUUGUGACUAAUACUGUUGUCAUACCAGACUUGAAGUAUUUGAUUUGUGAAUAGUCAUCAAAUAUUUUAUUGAUUGAUCUAGUGAUGAGAGCUGGUCAGCUGAUACCCUUUUUACCCGAACUCCCUGUUAAUAAUUUUCUUCAUCUACAGUAUGACAAUUAACUUUAUUAUCUGGACUUAGUAACUCUGAGGCACUGUGGUUUUUAAAAUAGAUUUGUAAAUAAGAUAGUAUAGAAUAGAUUAUGCUCAGAGUGGUUUUAUUAUAUGUUAAAUUGUAUUCUAAUUAUUUAAAAUUUUGUAAUUCCCAUUAUAAGAAGAUAUUUUAGGGGAUUUUGAAGGUCCUCUAGUUUCUGCUCUCAUUUUUUGUGUAAAUCCCUUUUACGUUAUUACUGAGAUGGUCCUAUAACCUUCUUUUCACACCUCCGGGGAUAAGGGAGAUCAUUAUUUCUCAAGGUAUACAGCAGCCACUCGUGUGUGUCUGCCAUAUACUUACUAGACACCAGAAAUGUGAUAUGGCAAUGAAGAAAAUAGACAAUUGCCCUCUCUUGUGGAGUCCAUACCUUAGCAGUGAUUUUGAGUAAGUAAUUAGAAGUAUGCAGCCACUGUGAAGAAGAAAUAGAAGAAUAGGACAAAAUAAUUAAACAUAAUCUGGGAGGGUCAGAGAAUGUUGUCUUAAGGUAUUAAUGCUUUAGCUGACACUUGUAGGAUGAGUUAGCUAGGGAAAAGGUGGGGAAGUUUUUCAAGCUGAGGAAACAGCAUGCCUCAAGAUCUUGAAUUGAGAGCAUGGCACAUUCAAGGAACCUGAAAUAAUUAUGAGAGGGCAUUCUCCUCAUCUCUGAAGGGACCUUGCAUUGUCUCAUAUGUAUUGAAGACAAAAGGAAUUCUUUAAGGAUUUGCAGCUUUAGAAGAAGAGUAUCAGCAAUGGUAAAGCACUUCCAUUAAACGACUUUAUAAAAAUCAGACAUCAACAAAAUAGGGACAGGAUGUGAAGAACAUAUGAAGACCUGUGAGACAUCUGCAGCCUCCCAUAAAUAACUGGGGUUGGGGGUGGGGUGGGGAGUGGAGGCAAGUUAAGGACAACAAAGAGUAAACAGUAGAGUUAUCACUAAUACUUUUCAGGCUGGUGAGGCUGGAGAAAAUUCAAGUUAUGUAUUACCUAAUCCAGCAUUUUCUAAAACAAAUGAUUUAACUUAAACUGUUUUCUUCCUCUUUGUUUCAUUUCCCUCUUUACUGGGAAAUGGCCUCUUGCAAUAUUGAUAAUUUAAAUUGAUAGUGCUAUUUGCUUAACAUUUUAAAAUUUAUUUUUUAAGUUAACACAUACAAUAAGGUUGACUUUGUGGGGGGGGGGUGUUACAGUUCUAUGAAUUUCAACACAUGUAUAAAUCCAUGUCAAGACUACCACAAUCAGACUACAAAAAAA
rnacentral:lncRNA from 1 species